rnacentral:rRNA from 1 species
UACGGGGGGGGCAAGCGGUUGUUCGGAAUUACUGGGCGUAAAGGGCGCGUAGGCGGCUUUUCAAGUCGGGCGUGAAAUCUCCGGGCUUAACCUGGAAGGGUCGUUCGAUACUGUCGAGCUAGAGUGUGGAAGAGGCUACUGGAAUUCCGUGUGUAGCGGUGAAAUGCGUAGAUAUACGGAGGAACACCAGCGGCGAAGGCGGGAUAGCUGGGCCAACACUGACGCUGAUGCGCGAAAGCCAGGGGAGCAAACGGG